rnacentral:rRNA from 1 species
UACGAAAGGGACUAGCGUUGUUCGGAAUUACUGGGCGUAAAGCGCACGUAGGCGGAUUUGUAAGUCAGGGGUGAAAUCCCGGGGCUCAACCUCGGAACUGCCUUUGAUACUGCAAAUCUCGAGUCCGAUAGAGGUGGGUGGAAUUCCUAGUGUAGAGGUGAAAUUCGUAGAUAUUAGGAAGAACACCGGUGGCGAAGGCGGCCCACUGGAUCGGUACUGACGCUGAGGUGCGAAAGCGUGGGGAGCAAACAGG